GGGGUGGCCUAAUACAUGCAAGUCGAGCGGACAGAAGGGAGCUUGCUCCCGGAUGUUAGCGGCGGACGGGUGAGUAACACGUGGGUAACCUGCCUGUAAGACUGGGAUAACUCCGGGAAACCGGAGCUAAUACCGGAUAGUUCCUUGAACCGCAUGGUUCAAGGAUGAAAGACGGUUUCGGCUGUCACUUACAGAUGGACCCGCGGCGCAUUAGCUAGUUGGUGGGGUAAUGGCUCACCAAGGCGACGAUGCGUAGCCGACCUGAGAGGGUGAUCGGCCACACUGGGACUGAGACACGGCCCAGACUCCUACGGGAGGCAGCAGUAGGGAAUCUUCCGCAAUGGACGAAAGUCUGACGGAGCAACGCCGCGUGAGUGAUGAAGGUUUUCGGAUCGUAAAGCUCUGUUGUUAGGGAAGAACAAGUGCGAGAGUAACUGCUCGCACCUUGACGGUACCUAACCAGAAAGCCACGGCUAACUACCUGCCAGCAGCCGCGGUAAUACGUAGGUGGCAAGCGUUGUCCGGAAUUAUUGGGCGUAAAGGGCUCGCAGGCGGUUUCUUAAGUCUGAUGUGAAAGCCCCCGGCUCAACCGGGGAGGGUCAUUGGAAACUGGGAAACUUGAGUGCAGAAGAAGAGAGUGGAAUUCCACGUGUAGCGGUGAAAUGCGUAGAGAUGUGGAAGAACACCAGUGGCGAAAGGCGACUCUUCUGGUCUGUAACUGUACGCUGAGAGCGAAAGCGUGGGGGAGCGAACAGGAUUAGAUACCUUGUUAGUCACGCCGUAAACGAUGAGUGCUAAGUGUUAAGGGGGUUCCGCCCCUUUAUGGCUUGCGCCUUAAAGCCAUAUAUG
rnacentral:rRNA from 1 species